UACGGAGGGUGCGAGCGUUGUCCGGAAUCAUUGGGCGUAAAGGGCGCGUAGGUGGCGGGACAAGCGUGCGGUGAAAGCUCGGGGCUCAACCCCGAGUCGGCCGUGCGAACUGUUUUGCUGGAGCACUGUAGAGGCAGGCGGAAUUCCGGGUGUAGCGGUGGAAUGCGUAGAGAUCCGGAAGAACACCGGUGGCGAAGGCGGCCUGCUGGGCAGUGGCUGACACUGAGGCGCGACAGCGUGGGGAGCAAACAGG
rnacentral:rRNA from 1 species